rnacentral:rRNA from 1 species
UACGGAGGGUGCAAGCGUUGAUCGGAAUUACUGGGCGUAAAGCGCACGCAGGCGGUUUGUUAAGUCAGAUGUGAAAUCCCCGAGCUUAACUUGGGAACUGCAUUUGAAACUGGCAAGCUAGAGUCUUGUAGAGGGGGGUAGAAUUCCAGGUGUAGCGGUGAAAUGCGUAGAGAUCUGGAGGAAUACCGGUGGCGAAGGCGGCCCCCUGGACAAAGACUGACGCUCAGGUGCGAAAGCGUGGGGAGCAAACAGG